UGGGGAAUCUUCCGCAAUGGACGAAAGUCUGACGGAGCAACGCCGCGUGUAUGAUGAAGGUCUUCGGAUUGUAAAGUACUGUCAUUGGGGAAGAACGGUUUUCUUGAAAAGAUUGAGAAGACAUGACGGUACCCAAGGAGGAAGCCCCGGCUAACUACGUGCCAGCAGCCGCGGUAAUACGUAGGGGGCAAGCGUUGUCCGGAAUUAUUGGGCGUAAAGGGCGCGUAGGCGGGCCUUUAAGUCCGGUGUGAAAGAUCAGGGCUCAACCCUGAGAGUGCAUCGGAAACUGGAGGCCUUGAGGACAGGGAGAGGAAAGUGGAAUUCCACGUGUAGCGGUGAAAUGCGUAGAUAUGUGGAGGAACACCAGUGGCGAAGGCGACUUUCUGGACUGUAACUGACGCUGAGGCGCGAAAGCGUGGGGGAGCAAACAGGAUUAGAUACCCUGGUAGUCCACGCCGUAAACGAUGAGUGCUAGGUGUAGAGGGUAUCGACCCCUUCUGUGCCGCAGUUAACACAAUAAGCACUCCCGCCUGGGGAGUACGGCCGCAAGGUUGAAACUUAAAGGAAUUGACGGGGUCAUAGCUGUUUCC
rnacentral:rRNA from 1 species